UACGGAGGGUGCAAGCGUUGUCCGGAAUCACUGGGCGUAAAGGGCGCGUAGGCGGCUCAUGAAGGCUGUGGUGAAAGUCCGGGGCUCAACCUCGGAUCGGCCGUGGCGACUCGUGGGCUGGAGCACUGUAGAGGCGGGUGGAAUUCCGCGUGUAGCAGUGAAAUGCGUAGAUAUGCGGAGGAACACCGAUGGCGAAGGCAAUCCCCUGGGCCUGCACUGACGCUCAUGCACGAAAGCGUGGGGAGCAAACAGG
rnacentral:rRNA from 1 species